rnacentral:snRNA from 1 species
UCCUCGAAUUUUUGGCGGUGA